GGUGCUUCUUCUUCGGAAGAAGUAACCCGGCGGACGGCUCAUUAACACGUGGAUAACUUGCCCUUGGGUCCGGGAUAACCCCUGAGAAAUUGGGGACAAUACCGGAUAGGGCAUCGAUAGCUGGAAUGCGCGAUGUCCAAAAGUUGAGGCGCCCAAGGAUAGGUCUGCGGCCGAUUAGGUUGUUGUUGAUGUAAUGGACCAACAAGCCUGCAAUCGGUACGGGUUGUGAGAGCAAGAGCCCGGAGAUGGGUUCUGAGAAAAGAACCCAGGUCCUACGGGACGCAUCAGGCGCGAAAACUUUACAAUGUGCGAAAGCACGAUAAGGGAACUCUGAGUGCCUCCUAUGGAGGCUGUUCAGGUGUCUAAAAAGCACUUGAAGUAAGGGCUGGGUAAGACCGGUGCCAGCCGCCGCGGUAACACCGGCAGCCCAAGUGGUAGCCACGAUUAUUGGGUCUAAAGCGUCCGUAGCCGGCCAGGUAAGUUCUUUGGGAAAUUUAACCCGCUCAACGGUUAAGCUUUCAGGGAAUACUGCUUGGCUUGGGACCGGGAGAGGUCAGAGGUACUUCAAGGGUAGGGGUGAAAUCCGUUAAUCCUUGAGGGACCACCAGUAGCGAAGGCGUGUGACCAGACCGGGUCCGACGGAGAGGGACG
rnacentral:rRNA from 1 species